AAUGCAACAAACAUUUUUCUCCUCCAACCCCCAUAACCACUUCCCGAGAAGGGAGUGGGGACAAGAGAGACCCCAGGGACAUCAGAGGAGUAUAAAAAGAGAGGACUGGUAGAAUCUACCGAGGAGGAGGUACCAGCAUUCGUAUAAGAAGUCAUGAUUAAUGUACCAGCUUGAAAAAAGGAACAGUUUCGACAAGCAAAAUAUAACGAAACCAGAUACUCACAUACGGAGCCAAAUAAUCAUACACAAAGCAUACAAUACUCAAGAUAAGGACAGAAUUACCCUCCUUCUUCGUUCACACACAAAACCAGAUACUCACAUACGGAGCCAAAUAAUCACACACAAAGCAUACAAUACUCAAGAUAAGGACUGAGUUACCCUCCUUCUUCGCGACCAGAGAAGAUCGGCCUUCAAUCAGUCAGAGAAAACCCUAGGUACAAAACCCUAGGUGCAACCGUUGAAAACCUUACUGGAAAUAUGGGGAGGGAUGUCGGAAAGUCACUCUAAACAUCCACUGAGUGAGGAUCGAUCCACCGGAUAGCAUAAAACUCUAGGUUAAACCACCAGAAACCCUAGAAGCCGAUAGGUCACCGAAAAAUCACCCAAAAAUCAGCAGAAAAUCUCCCAGAACGUUCGAGUGAAGAAAAUACACUCAGAUAUCAUGAUGAAAAACUCGGAAAGGCAUCCGAUCUAGGUCGGAAUCAUCAUCGAUAGAAAGUUCGAGUGAAGAAAAUAUACUCAGAUAUCACGAUGAAAGUCUCAGAAAGGCAUCCGAUUUAGAUCGGAAUCGUCAUCGACCACAAAGUCUCAUAAACACCCCCAAAAUCUCAAAGGAGACUUCAACCAAGAUAACAAGAUGCAGAAAAACAUAGUCGGAUCGUCGUCUAGGCUCUGAUACC
rnacentral:lncRNA from 1 species